rnacentral:rRNA from 1 species
CCUACGGGGGGCUGCAGUGGGGAAUUUUGCGCAAUGGGCGAAAGCCUGACGCAGCAACGCCGCGUGAGUGAUGAAGGUUUUCGGAUCGUAAAGCUCUGUCAGAGGGGAAGAAACUCCCGGGUGCUAAUAUCGCCUGGGCUUGACGGUACCCUCAAAGGAAGCACCGGCUAACUCCGUGCCAGCAGCCGCGGUAAUACGGAGGGUGCAAGCGUUGUUCGGAAUUAUUGGGCGUAAAGCGCGUGUAGGCGGUUGGUUAAGUCUGAUGUGAAAGCCCUGGGCUCAACCCGGGAAGUGCAUUGGAAACUGGCUAACUUGAGUACGGGAGAGGGUAGUGGAAUUUCGAGUGUAGGGGUGAAAUCCGUAGAUAUUCGAAGGAACACCGGUGGCGAAGGCGGCUACCUGGACCGAUACUGACGCUGAGACGCGAAAGCGUGGGGAGCAAACAGGAUUAGAUACCCUAGUAGUC